CUGCAGAUUGCGUGAAUUCAAGCCACAGCGUACGUUGGCAUGAUUAUGUAAUUCUUCUCGAACAGCAAUCUUGUUCUAAUCGCAUACAGCAGACCUUCAAAGGAUUUUCUAAGGAUUUCCCAAGGCGUCUCUUGGAUAAAGUGUACUAUAUGGGAUUCUGAGAUAAAAAGUAGAUAAAUUAAACAGAGAUUAAAGUUUCUAUUUUGAUAGAGAAAUGAGCCUGUAACAGAUACUCAAAGCUUGACGUCGUGAAGAUGUGAUCUGUUGUCGCAGUAGAAUCAAUUCUUUAAGAGGAAGGAUCUUUAAAGAGAGGAAGGAACAUAAAGCGUUUAGGGGACAAACACAGAAAAAGAGAUCAUUCCUUUGCCUCUCCGUACACAUUCUAUUUCAAAAAUUCUGUUUAAAAACAUAACUUCGAAUACUUCA